CUGCCGCUUAGUUGCAAUAGGGGAAGGGUGACAUCCGCUAUUGCUUGCAAUGGCAAUUCUAGUUAUGGCACCCUCAACGGAGUUGGGGUGACAUAUUGUUAUUGUUCGUUUCUUUUUUUUUCUUUUUAUUAUUAUGGCACCCUCAACGGAGUUGGGUGACAUAUUGUUAUUCUACGUUUCUUUUUCUUAUUAUUUUUUUCUUCCACUUUUUUUUGUCCAGCUUAUAUCUCGGAAUUUUAUGAACCAAUGUUAAUGGAACUUACCAUAAUGUUGACCAGCAUGUGCAGAUUUGCAAUCGGGGUAUGGCACUUUCAAGAUGGCCGCAGUUACCAUGGAAACGGAACAAAUGUGAAAAAAUACAGUUUUUCGUUUUGGUGAACUGUUUGGAUAUGCUUUAAGUCAGAAUCAUGUAUAUUUUAAUACAAUGUAGGUGUCCACUAUAUACAGGUGUUGGAUGAUUUUGACACUCAUUGGAACUACUAUGUUGCCAUGGAAACUACACCAAAAAAUUUAAAAUUCUCAAAAUGUUCAACUUCAGGAAACUUCACAGUAAGGAUGAGCAACAUUGGAAGAUGUGGAAUUUGGCGUUGGAAUUUCCAAAAUAUCUCUUGUUACCAUGGAAACAAUGCUAAAAGGCCAAAACUUUGAAUUUU
rnacentral:lncRNA from 1 species